GUAGUCUCGCACAGAUGCAUAUCAAUAAGCGGAGGAAAAGAAACUAACAAGGAUUCCCCUAGUAACGGCGAGUGAAGCGGGAAGAGCUCAAAUUUGAAAUCUUAAAGGGUUUCCCUUUACGAAUUGUAGUUUAAAGAAGUGUUUUCUGUUGAGGUUUUGGUAAAAGUUCUUUGGAAUAGGACAUCAUAGAGGGUGAGAAUCCCGUAUUUGACCUUUACUUUCAACUUUGUGAUACACUUUCAAAGAGUCGGAUUGUUUGGGAAUGCAGUCCAAAAUGGGUGGUAAAUUUCAUCUAAAGCUAAAUAUUGGCGAGAGACCGAUAGCGAACAAGUACCGUGAGGGAAAGAUGAAAAGAACUUUGAAAAGAGAGUUAAACAGUACGUGAAAUUGUCAAAAGGGAAGCGUUUGACACCAGUGUUGUUUUUCUGAAAAGUCAAUUAAAGAACUGUUUAUGCUAAGCUGUUUAGACUUUAUUAGCUAACUGUUUAGUUUUGAGCUUUUCUUUAAUGCACUUUUCAGUUAACAAGUCAACAUCAAUUUCUUUUGCUGUAAAAAAGCUUGAGGAAGGUGGCUUGAGAUUCGUCUUAAGUGUUUAUAGCCUCUUGCCUAUGCAGUCGGAGAGAUUGAGGUCUGCAGCGUAGAUCCUUCGGGGCUAAAUGCAUUUGUGCUAAGUUAUAGCAUUUUAUAGACAACUUGUUGACUAUGAUUUGUCUUGUAGCUUACUCGCUUAUGUUAUUUUACCUACGCUUAGGAUGUUGACGCAUGAGAUAUACGC
rnacentral:rRNA from 1 species